rnacentral:tRNA from 1 species
AAAAGAAAUUAAAAUUAUUUAUAAUCAGUUUCGACCUGAUAUUAGGAAUUCCUCUUUUUU